CACGCCGUAAACGAUGAUUACUAAGAGUAUGCGAUAUAAUGUAUGUUCUACAGCGAAAGCGUUAAGUAAUCCACCUGGGGAGUACGUCGGCAACGAUGAAACUCAAAGGAAUUGACGGGGGCCCGCACAAGCGGAGGAACAUGUGGUUUAAUUCGAUGAUACGCGAGGAACCUUACCCGGGAUUGAAAUGUGCAUGACGUAAAUUGGAGACGAUUUAUACCCUUCGGGGCAUGUAUGUAGGUGCUGCAUGGUUGUCGUCAGCUCGUGCCGUGAGGUGUCGGCUUAAGUGCCAUAACGAGCGCAACCCACAUUGUCAGUUACUAACAGGUAGAGCUGAGGACUCUGGCGAGACUGCCGGCGUAAGCCGNGAGGAAGGUGUGGAUGACGUCAAAUCAGCACGGCCCUUACAUCCGGGGCGACACACGUGUUACAAUGGUGAGGACAAAGGGCAGCUACCUGGCGACAGGGUGCGAAUCUCCAAACCUCAUCUCAGUUCGGAUCGGAGUCUGCAACUCGACUCUGUGAAGCUGGAUUCGCUAGUAAUCGCGCAUCAGCCAUGGCGCGGUGAAUAC
rnacentral:rRNA from 1 species